rnacentral:lncRNA from 1 species
AAUAUCCGGUGUUGGAGGUGGAGCCUGGUGGGAGGUGAUUGGAUCAUGCGGGCAGAUUUCUCAUGAAUGGUUUAGCAGCAUCCCCUUUGUCCUGCCCUUGGAACAAUGAGUUAUCUGUCAGAUCUGGUAGUUAAAGAGUGUGUGGCACCUCCCCCUCGCUCUCUUCCUCCUGCUACUGCCAUGUGAGAUACCUGCCCCUACUUUGCCUUCUUCCAUGAUUGGAAGCUUCCUGAGGCCACCCCAGAGUCAGAAGCCGCUAUGCUUCCUGGACAGCUUGCAGAACCCUCCUCCAUUAACCCCUGCAGAGUAUUCACUGACUGCUGAAACUAGAGCAUCACUGAGAAGCAAGAGAUAGACUGACCUAACUAGAGGGAGAGCUGCCAUCCAGGAUGAUGCCACCAUCACAGGAGGUGAGAAGGAACACAGCAUCUUCUGCAAAUGCUACAGUAAAUAGGGACGGGGUGCAGCAAUGUGAGGAAAGUGGAAUGAACUUGGACUUUGAAGGCAAACUAACCUGGAAUCAAAUACUGGCUCUGCUGUUUGCAAGUGUGAUCUUUGGGUAUGCUUCCUAAUCUGUGAGCUUCAACUUCCUCCUCUGUAAACCAAGAUCAAAGACAAACAGGGAAACCUACUUGUCUGGUGCCCAUCCCCUUGGCAGAACACUCCUCUGAAGGAUGACAGUUUGGCUGUGCCAGGGCAGAGCUGCCGACACCAAAUGAGCCUUCAUAGCAACUAUCUGAUGAGGAACUCACUGGCCUACCUUUCCUUGACAGCUGGGGCCUGCCAGCCUUGAAGCAUGACUCCACAACGCCCCUACCCAAGGCCAUGGAGGUUGCUGCUGAUGAGCAAGCUGUUUUAUAUUUAAUCCAGGUUUCUGCUUGGAGAGGAAGAAGGUAGAGGAGCCAGCGAAGGUUUGUCUGAAUGAUACUUGCAGAAAAAACACUGGUAACAGUCACAAAACUUUGAAAAUUAAAGUGCCAGCGAGGUGGCUUUUGGUGGCCAGAUGAAAGCUGUUAACCCCAGCUUUUACAAAUGCUGGGCUUUGAGUAAGAGGAGAGUGUCUUUCUGGAAAAGUUUGAGACCUCUUACUAUUGUAGCAGCAAAAGCAUCCACGGCUAGUGUUUUCCAAGCUCACUGCUACUUGUUGCAGUCUAGCAGUGUUGUGUCUCCUGAAAUUCCUACCUUUCUUGAUGGAUGUAAAAGAAGUACCAAUUUAUUAAGCUCCUAGUAUGUGCCAGAUGCUCCAUAUAUGUUACUUUUGAUCUUCAGAACCACUCAGCAACUUACUGCUUCUCCUCACUCCCAAUUACAUAGAUGAUGAAAUUGAAGCAGAGUAGUUUGUCUAGGAUUACAGAGCUAGGAGGGACCAGAGUUGGGAUUCUCCCUCAGUUCUAAUACACAGUAUGCUACAUUUCCUGUCGAGUAGUAACAAAGCUUCUAAGAAAUCUGAGUUUUCAUUUGUUAAAACUGAAUUUUUAAGAAAUGUAGACAGGAGCACUAAGUACUCUAUAGUUUAACGUUAAUAAUGGUACAAGUAUAUAACCAGUUUCUCAUGCACUGGCAUAACAUACUUCAGAGGGUACACCAGGGCUGGAUGAAUAUCUGAACCCAAAAAUAUCUGAGACAGGUCUCAGUUAACUUAGAAAGUUUAUUUUUCCAAUUUUGAGGACAUGCACCCAUGACACAGCCUCAGGUGGUCCUGACGACAUGUGCCCAAGGUAGUUAGGGCAAAGCUUUUUUUUAUACACUUUAGAGAGACAGGAGAUAUCAAUCAAUAUAUGUAAGAUGUACAUUGGUUAUGUCCAGAAAGACAGGACAACUAAAGCAGGGAGGGGGCUUCCAGGUCUUAUGUAGGUGAGAGAUAAAUGGUUGCAUUCCUUUGAGUUUCUGACUAGCUUUUCCAAAGGAGGCAAUCAAAUAUGCAUUUAUCUCAGUGAGCAGAGGGGUGACUUUGAAUAGAAUGGGAGGCAGGUUUGCCCUAAACAGUUCCCAGCUUGACUUUUCCGUUUAGCUUAGUGAUGUUGGGGCCCUGAGAUUUAUUUUCCUUUCACACUUCUUCCAUUUUCUUUUUAAAAAUCUUUUGAAGAAAGCAUUUUAGAAGAAAAUGAGUCUCUGCUCUCAUGGCUAGGAUAGUUUAUUCCUACAGGGGUAGGUCCCAAGUUAUUAGGAAAGCUCAUUUUUAGCAGAUUGAGAAGUCUCAUGUCCUGUGAAGAGACAAUAGUAGGAGGAAGGGAGAAAAACAACAAACAAGAGAACAAUCCUAGAAAAUCUAUAUAGACCACAUUACUUUGAAGUCCAUACAUCAGUAGGUAGGUAUGAAAGUGGCUUAUGUACCUAAAUAGUUUGCUUUUAUUUUCUUCUGAAGUUUAAGUUGUCUAGAUUCAGUUUGCAGGACUUUAGAAAGUACAGCUUAGUUUUCAAUUAUUUCGAAUUAGGAAAAAUGGGGUGAGGGGAAGGAAAAGAAGGAAAAAAAUUGAAAACAUUAUUUUGGAGACUUGUAGCCAGGAAAAAUUAGAAUUCAGUCUAAACUGUAGAAAAUAAUAAAAAUAGAAAAACAUUAGGCAAGACUAAAAUCUAACAACAGGUGCACUAUAGUUUUUGAAACGUAUUUUUUCUCUCUCCAGUUUCCCAUUUUCACUAAAAACAAAUCAUAGAAGAACCAAUUUGCUUUAUUAUACUUGGCCAGAUUAUUUGUAUGAAGUGAAGCAAGAAUAAUUAUUUUUCACAUAGGCUUUUAAAAUUAGCUUUGAUGGACUUCUUCCAUAGAAGGAAUCUCACAUAAGCCUUUUUUAAAGCCAAGCCCAGCCACAGAUUUGUACCAUCAAAUACCUAUGAGUUGGGUGAAUUAUUCUCCUUUUGAGUUCCAACAUAACUUAGGGCUCUUGGGCCUGUCAGAAAGUGACAUUCUUUACUUACCACAGGUCAGGAACACCGUUCAGGGACUGUGCAGACAAGGUAUGAGGCCAGUUUCCCCAAGGGGUUUUUAUUGGCUCUAUAAAUCAAGUUUAAUACCUUAAAGGAAAGCACACCAUUCCAGCCAAAGACUCAGUAAAAUAACCAGUUUCUCCAAUUGUGUCCUGUUACAAAUAAAAACAGAUUCUUAUUUCACUUAUGCAAAUAACUAUAUUGCCGUAAGUCACGAAUACUUACAAGUAGUUUCCAAAUUUUGGAGAAAUCAGGUAGAGAGAAACAAAUAAGCUCCAAAUUUCGUUCAUAGGAGUAUACUUGUUAAAAGCUGUCAAUAGCUCAAAAGAAAAGUUUCCUUGACUCUGAAAAACAAAACAAAGGAUCAGCAACGUUUUGUGCAAAAAGUCAAAAAGACUACUUCAGUCUUCUACUGGUUCAGUCCAUGCAGUUAAUUUCUGUUCUGCUUGAUAUUCGUGAACAUUUCAGCUCUCCGUAAGUCCUGAAAGUUUUUCCUCUUUUCUAAUGUCACAAUCUCCAAAGUUAUCAGAAAACUGCAUUCAAGAACACAUGUUAAGAGUUUUAUAGCUGAUUAUAAAACUACCUUCAAAAGAGGAACAAAACAAGACAACAAUUGUCCAUGGAUGACAAAAAAUUUUAGGGCAGCCAUAGUCAAAGACACAGUUGACAAGAAAAUUUGUUACCUCUGUGGCAUACAAUAAUUUAACAUAACAAUUAUAAUUACUGAUAACAUACACUAAGUCAUAUCAGAAUUUUAGGAGUUUCCUAUUAUUUUGGAACAGAUACCAAUAACACAUUUAUACAAAUACAGCCC